rnacentral:rRNA from 1 species
UACGUAGGGUGCAAGCGUUAAUCGGAAUUACUGGGCGUAAAGCGUGCGCAGGCGGUUAUGUAAGACAGGUGUGAAAUCCCCGGGCUUAACCUGGGAACUGCAUUUGUGACUGCAUAGCUAGAGUACGGUAGAGGGGGAUGGGAAUUCCGCGUGUAGCAGUGAAAUGCGUAGAUAUGCGGAGGAACACCGAUGGCGAAGGCAAUCCCCUGGACCUGUACUGACGCUCAUGCACGAAAGCGUGGGGAGCAAACAGG